rnacentral:misc_RNA from 1 species
GAUGAAGAACGUAGCAAAAUGCGAUACUUGGUGUGAAUUGCAGAAUCCCGUGAACCAUCGAGUUUUUGAACGCAAGUUGCGCCCGAAGCCUUUUGGCCGAGGGCACGUCUGCCUGGGCGUCACGCAUCGCGUCGCCCCCCACAAUUCUCCGCAAAGGGAACCUGUGUUUUGGGGGCGGAUAUUGGUCUCCCGUGCUCAUGGCGUGGUUGGCCGAAAUAGGAGUCCCUUCGACGGCCGCACGAACUAGUGGUGGUCGUAAAAACCCUCGUCUUUUGUUUCGUGCCGUCAGUCGCAAGGGAAACUCUUGGAAAACCCCAACGUGUCGUCUCUUGACGACGCUUCGACCGCGACCCCAGGUCAGGCGGGACUACCCGCUGAGUUUAAGCAUAUCAAUAAGCGGAGGA